rnacentral:rRNA from 1 species
GACGAACGCUGGCGGCGUGCCUAAUACAUGCAAGUAGAACGCAGUUGCGAACGGGUGAGUAACGCGUAGGUAACUGCCUCAUAGCGGGGGAUAACCAUUGGAAACGAUAGCUAAUACCGCAUACUGUGAGAUGGACCUGCGUUGUAUUAGCUAGUUGGGGGGGUAAAGGCUCACCAAGGCGACGAUACAUAGCCGGCUUGAGAGGGGGAUGGGCCAAACCUGGACUGGGACAAGGGCCAGACUCCCAAGGGGGGGAGGCAUAGGGAAUCUUCGGCAAUGGACGGAAGUCUGGCCGAGCAAAGGCGGGGGGGUGAAGAAGGUUUUCGGGUUGUAAAGGUACGUUGUUAGAGAAGCGGUAACGAAACAGAAAGGGACGGCUAACUACGUGCCAGCAGCCGCGGUAAUAC